rnacentral:lncRNA from 1 species
UUACGUGUUACAUAUUGCAAGGGGAGUGGAGAAAGAAGCCGCGAGUUGUGAAACGACUCGAUUGAUAAAGAGAGAUUCCAGAGGGCGCCGCUCCAAAAAGGGGAAGGGCGGUUAAACUUUUGAUAGUGCUAGAAAACUAGUAUCGCAUUCGCAUGACGACGGUGACGAACCUUAUCCUGAAAGCAGCAGCAGCAGCAGAGAAUGGUGAAGAAGACCCUGGUGGCGCUGUCGGUGGCUGUUCGGGGACAAGCAGCAGCAGCAGCCGCCGCCGUUCCACAUUAGAUUUGGAUUUAGGAAAUGGAAGCCAAGUGGUGUACGUGGCGAGGUUCCUUGGCUACCAGGAGUCGUGGGAUUACUUCCACUAUCUAAACAAACACAUCCCUUGGACCCGUCCAACCAUCCGCGUCUUUGGCCGAUCUUCUGUCCAGGUAGGUGCAUUACGCUCUGCCGUCUGUGUGGGUGUGAAAAUUUUUUUUUUUUUUUUUAAAUUUCAGAUUCAAUGUUUUAUCAUGCCGAUGGUCUUAAUUUGCGGGUUGUUGAGCGAGUUUUGUAUGUGGGAUUCUGAGAUUCACCUGGUUUUCUUUGGUGGGAAUACUUUGAAGAUGUUGGGCUUUAACUCAUAAAUAGUAUACUCUAAUACUUUAUGCUGGAAUUGAUUUCUGAUGCCUGAAUUCUGAUGCUGUCUCCUGACUUGAUGCCUUCUCAUAUUUUUUUGUGGGUCAUGGGCCUAAUUUAAACAAGCGCCCGCAGCCCCUCGCCCCCUCCCCCUCCCCUCUUCCUUCCCGGCUCAACAAUUACACUUAUGUAAACAUUGAUUAAUCUUCAUUACUGCGGCAUUAGACUUGUAGCUCAGAGACACGACCACUUUUCUCUCGGCUGGAAUUGCGAUUUGUAGUCAAUACUGAAUUCAGACGUUUCUAAAAUGGUCUGAAUAUCCAAUUCAACUCUACACAUGCUCCUCUAAUUUGAACUAGUGCGGAGGAGCGGUUCAUCGUUUCAAAGGGAAGGGAUGCAUGAGAAAAUGCUCAACUCAAUGGGGUUCAGGAUUUCUGAUUUGUCAUUUUCCUCUCCACAGCCCAGAGAUGUGUGCUAUGUCGCCAGUGAAGGAUUGCCAGACCUAGCAUACAGCGGAUACCAGCCUCAUGCACAUUCCUGGGAUGAGUUUCCCCCACUCAAGGACAUUCUGGAAGCAGUAUGAUUGGUGUUUCUUCAUUUUGAUGGAUUUGGCAUGCUGCAUAUAUGUGUGCCUGACUAAUUGGCAAACCACGCUGUUGCUAUGUUAUAGGUCCACAGUGCGCUUCCUGGGAGUUGUUUCAACAGUUUACUGCUGAAUAGAUACAAAGGCGGAAGUGACUACGUUAGCUGGCAUGCUGAUGACGAAAAACUGUAUGGUCCAACCCAUGGAAUUGCCUCGGUUUCUUUUGGUUGUGAACGGGAGUUCUUGUUGAAGAGGAAGCCAGGCAAGAAUUUUCGAGGUAGCUUAGCUCACUCAAAAAACUUGUUACUAGUAGUAGCGUUCUUUAUGAAAAAGAACAUUUUAUUUCAUCUUGUAAUGGCAGCAGGCAAGAAGAGAUCAGAGGGCAAAAGGGCAAGGGAGCAGGACAGGGUCGCUGAACAACACUCGUUCACGUUGAAGCAUGGGUCGCUUUUGGUGAUGAGAGGCUACACUCAGCGGGACUGGCUUCAUUCGGUGCCCAAGCGGGCCAAAGCGCAAUCCACACGAAUUAAUCU